CCCAAGUUCAGUAGACAAAGCACAUACAUGGGAUCUAUCUAUUCCUUAUCCAUACUGACAAAGAGUUCCAACUCUUUGAAAGGGUAGAUAAUAGCAGGACAGGAAAUGGUUUUAAGUUAAGGAAGAUUAAAUUUAGGUUGGAUAUCAGGGGGAAGUUCUUUACUAUGAGAGUGGUGAGGUGCUGGAACAGGCUGCCCAGAGAGAUUGUGGAUGCCCUGUCCCUGGAGGUGUUCAAGGCCAGGUUGGAUGGGGCCCUGGGCAGCCUGGUAUAGUAUUAGAUAUCGAGGUUGGUGGCCUUGCCUGCAGCAGGGGGAUUGGAGCUUGAUGAUCCUUGAGGUCCAUUUCAACCCAAACCAUUCUAUGAUUCUAUGAUUCUAAAACAAUCUUUAGUUUAAGAGGGCAGUGAUACAUUCUUUAUCAAGCAGAAAAUGUGUCUGAAGAAGAGGGAACCACAUUUUUGUCUGAGACAAAUAAUACAGAUGCUUAUAUCUGUUCUCCCUUGACAAGCUUCAGCAGAAAACAAGCACUGCGUAGUAAUAAAUGAAAGCAGGUUGGAGAAGGAGGAGGGGUGAAGAGGAGGUUAUGUGCAUAGAUCAAAGGAUUCUUCAGAGAGAUGAAUGCAAAUCAGAAAAUAACUACUUUUCAAUGUGUGCACGUGUGUAUACUGCAAUCUCAGCAGAAGAGAGCUCAUGACUUGUAAAGUUAGACUAGCACUAAAUCAUAUUGCUAAGGUGGGCAGAGUGAUUAUAAUACAGUGCAGAAACAUAAAUGCUGCAGGAACAGUGUCAGGGAAUAACUUGUGUCCUGAGAGAGCACCUGUGGGCAACAUAAUUGUUGUACCAAUGCAAAUACAUCAUAUUCCUAAAUGAGUACAGUCAUUUUCGGACUACUGCACUUCUAAAGUGGUCUUAAGCUCUACAAUGUACUUUUGGCACAAUAUCUAGUAUAUACACGGAAAACUGAGGCUGACUUAUCUGGGAGACAACAAAAACUUUGACAGUAUAAAAGACAGAGAGGAUUAAAUGGUAUUUUAUUCUCUCAGUCAACUCAUUUGUCACUGUGUGUGUCAAUGGGAAACUUCAAGUCUAUGUCUUAAUUUUUACUUUUCUGAAGAAAUUAUUUAUUUACCUAUAGCUUAAAUGGAAA
rnacentral:lncRNA from 1 species